rnacentral:rRNA from 1 species
UCCACCCGAGACUCAGUGAAAUUGAACUCGCUGUGAAGAUGCAGUGUACCCGCGGCAAGACGGAAAGACCCCGUGAACCUUUACUAUAGCUUGACACUGAACAUUGAGCCUUGAUGUGUAGGAUAGGUGGGAGGCUUUGAAGUGUGGACGCCAGUCUGCAUGGAGCCGACCUUGAAAUACCACCCUUUAAUGUUUGAUGUUCUAACGUGGACCCGUUACCCGGGUUGCGGACAGUGUCUGGUGGGUAGUUUGACUGGGGCGGUCUCCUCCUAAAGAGUAACGGAGGAGCACGAAGGUUGGCUAAUCCUGGUCGGACAUCAGGAGGUUAGUGCAAUGGCAUAAGCCAGCUUGACUGCGAGCGUGACGGCGCGAGCAGGUGCGAAAGCAGGUCAUAGUGAUCCGGUGGUUCUGAAUGGAAGGGCCAUCGCUCAACGGAUAAAAGGUACUCCGGGGAUAACAGGCUGAUACCGCCCAAGAGUUCAUAUCGACGGCGGUGUUUGGCACCUCGAUGUCGGCUCAUCACAUCCUGGGGCUGAAGUAGGUCCCAAGGGUAUGGCUGUUCGCCAUUUAAAGUGGUACGCGAGCUGGGUUUAGAACGUCGUGAGACAGUUCGGUCCCUAUCUGCCGUGGGCGCUGGAGAACUGAGGGGGGCUGCUCCUAGUACGAGAGGACCGGAGUGGACGCAUCACUGGUGUUCGGGUUGUCAUGCCAAUGGCACUGCCCGGUAGCUAAAUGCGGAAGAGAUAAGUGCUGAAAGCAUCUAAGCACGAAACUUGCCCCGA